CCGGCCCCGCUGUGACGCAGGGCGCCGCGCCGCGCGCUUCCUCCGCCGCGGAGACCACCCUGCGCCACCGGCCGGCCGGCGAGGGCGGCCGCCUGGCACCGUGCGCUUUCUUCGGGAUGUGGGGGGAAUCGCUCCGCCGCUGCCCCGCGGGGCCCCUCAGGCCUCCGACCCGCCCACCUGGCUGCUCUGCCCUGGGAAUCGGCUGGGAAUAGUGACUGACCCCCAUCCAACACACGCACCCGUCCUAACAAGGCGCGGAAUUCCGGAGCCUUCCAGGUGCGCGCAUCCACUCUGCCACCGCAGCUCCUCCUCCCCCCCCCCCCGAACAGAAGGGCGGGAGUGAUCGUGGGACGCACUGAGGUCGACGCGGAAAGAGGAAGCCAAAAGCUAAUUUCCCUGGGCCAUGAAGCCCAUCAGCCCUUUGACACUGCAGUCUCCUUUCCCGCAGGACCCCCACGCGCCGGGACAGGGACAGCUGGGCUGCAAGAUCCCAGGACGCUGAUGUUGAACGCGCCUGUAAGUUCAUGUUCUGCAUAGAGGAGUUGACCGUGCAUGUCAAAACCACCUGUGGUUUAAGAGUAUGGGGGAGAGGUUCUUUCUUACUGCUCUGAACCGUGCUUUUCUCCUCCACACUCCCCUACCCAAUUUCAGGAUGCAAAAGCAAACGCUGCCUUCUUGAAAGCAGGCAACAAUCUAUAUGGAAAAACGUACAGACAAGAUUACUAAGUAAUAUAAAGCCUUCCGGGAUGCCUCAGCAAUACCAGCCAUUUUACAAGCACCAAAAAUUAAAAACUGCUCUGUUCUGGUAGCCAGGAAAAGACUGAUGUACAUGAAUAGAGCAAUUAAUAGAUGAGUAGUCAGUCGUCUUUCACUGGUUGAUUUGUUCUUACCCAGCAAGCCUUAAGAAAGCAGGCACCUCCUUUUACCCCAUUUCUAUUUCCAAGCCAAAAUGCAAAUGCAUGCAGAAGUUGUUCUCUUGGGCGUUAACUGCUCCCCUACCUCAGUUCACCUGGAAAACUCCUACACUUUUGCAAUUCCAGUACUGUUUUUGCUCCUCCACCUGCAGAAAACUACUUUAAAUCCUUUUAGCCCUUGGGAGAUGGCUCCAACAGCAGCCUUAAUUAACCUAGAUGGAGACAAAAAUCUAGGGUGGGGCCUUCCUCCUAGAUAUCAGGCGGAAAAAUUCUUGGAGUAUUUCUAGGGGAAAGACAGAGACUGACUUUAGAAAUUUGCUAAACAUUUCAAGUACCUUGCAAGCCACCGGGUACUCUGUGAGGUAUGUUCAGCACCAAGAUGUAUUUAAAGACUCCAGGAAGCAAGCACUAAGGGCACAAGCCUCCUGUGGUGAGCCUUGUCCUGCAAGUGCUCUCCGAGCACACCUCUGUCUCUCUUGUACCAUUGGAACCUUGACCUCAAGCUUAAGCAUCCCUGAAAUGCUCCUGUGCUACCCAGUGUCAAGGAAGAUUCAGCCCUAGACUUUGGAUUGAGAAGAACCAGGAAUACUGCUCUUCAUGUGUCAAUGUAAAGAAGUAAUUGCCACUUAAAAAAAAUCAUCAGCGAUCUAACUGCUAUAGGGUACUAUGAGAAUUAGAUAACAUGCUUAAAGCAGCAAGAACAGUGCCAAGCACAUUGUAAGUACUCAAUAAAGGUAGCUGUUAUGUACUCUUA